GUCAAGUACUCCGAGCACAAAACGGUCACUAGUAAGCUCGUUAAAUGCAAUGACUCAAACUCCAUCAGAAUAGUUCGGAUUCAUGUUACAGAUGGUGACGCAACAGACUCCUCCAGCGACGAGGAUGAAGACUCAGUAUUCGCUCAUCAACGAGUCAUCAAGAAACACAUCAACGAGAUAAGAAUUGAAGAUCGUGUGGGAUAUGUAACUGGUGAAUGCUCAAAUUCGUGUCAACAACCACCGAGGAAAAACAAUAAAAAUCAGCGGUAUUAUCCAGAGGGUA
rnacentral:misc_RNA from 1 species